GCACCACAAGAACGCGUGGAGCAUGUGGCUUAAUUUGACUCAACGCGGGAAAUCUUACCGGGUCCGGACACACUGAGGAUUGACAGGCAAUAUCUCAUGUUAACGGUAAGUUUACUUACCGCUUAGCAUCGAGUGUUAAAUAUGCUAGUCCUUUCAUGAUUAUGUGAUAGGUGGUGCAUGGCCGUUCUUAGUUCGUGGAGUGAUCUGUCUGCUUAAUUGCGUUUCACUAAGGGCCCAUAAAUUCAAGGUAUGUUAGCUCUCGUCGCUCUAUGGACCCCUUAACUCCAAUAUUCUUAUUGUGUUAAGCGCGUGUCUUUAUUUUAAGAGUUUUAAGACACUGCGCAUGCUGUUGGGCUCUGAAAGCAACGAACGUGACCGCAACGUCUUGUUGCCUUAAACUAGCGUAUAUUGCAAUUUAUUGUAAUAUCGCUUACAGAGGCUAU
rnacentral:rRNA from 1 species